GACGGGGGAUGCAAGUGUUAUCCGGAAUCACUGGGCGUAAAGCGUCUGCAGGUGGUUUCCUAAGUCCACUGUUAAACCUUGAGGCUCAACCUCAAAUCUGCAUUGGAAACUAGGAGACUUGAGUAUAGUAGGGGUAGAGGGAAUUUCCAGUGGAGCGGUGAAAUGCGUAGAUAUUGGAAAGAACACCGGUGGCGAAGGCACUCUACUGGGCUAUGACUGACACUCAGAGGCGAAAGCUAGGGGAGCAAAUGGG
rnacentral:rRNA from 1 species